AAGGAUCAUUAUUGUGAACCGGGGAGGCGCGAGCCGACCCACCAACCAAACCACCGUGAACACGAGUCCCGUCGGCCGUCGCCGUCGGGCAAACCUUUACACCUGUCGUCAACAAGUCAUGAAAGUUAUAACAAAGAGUACAACUCUCAACGAUGGAUCUCUUGGCUCUC
rnacentral:misc_RNA from 1 species